rnacentral:lncRNA from 1 species
GAUCUCCAGACAGCUACAAAGAGAAUAUCAGUGGAUCAUUGGAAUUUCACCUAGAUUUUUCUCAUCAAACUGCCCACACAUUUUAUUCCUGUUGGAUGGAGAGGAGGUCGUGAGUGGGUAUCUGGAAGGACGUAGCAAACAUGGCUGUGCAGUGGGCCUUGAAGGAUGGAAACCACUUCCUGAGGAUGGUGAACUGGCAAGACAGGAACCUUGGUUACUGAGAUGAAGAUGCUGUAUCAACCCUGGAUGGCCUCCUUCCUCUGAACUUAUUCCAGACUCCUGUGUCCAGUGUGCCUUUCCUCCUGAGGGCAUUGCUCAUCAGGGAGGAGCUCCAGGGGUAAGUGAGAAUUCUUUAUAUGACCAUUCUUUUUUUUUUUUUUUUUUUGAGAGAAUGAACACGCACAAGCUGGGAGUAGGGGGUAGGGAGAGAGAGAGAGAAUCCCAAGCAGACCUCCCGCUGAGCUCAGAGCCACCAGCGCAGAGCUCCAUCUCAUGACCUUGAGAUCAUGACCUGAGUGGAAACCAAGAGUCAGAUGCUUAACUGACUGAGCCGUUCGCAGGUGCCCCUAAAUGGUCGUUCUUAAAUAAAAAUUAUUAAUUCAUAGCCAGUUCUUGAUUUUUGAUGAACAGAUUAUGUUUUAAAGAUUAUUUUCUGACUUAAUUUUGU